rnacentral:lncRNA from 1 species
GUGAUUAAAAAAAUUGGGUUCAUUUUUCUCAUUUGAAAUUUCAUAAAUAAAAAAGAAAAUUUCUUCAAACAUUUUUUUGAGAGGAUUAAUAUUCAACAGCAUAGUGAAUUGCUCUAAGAGAAACAAAAAAUUUAAGUUCAUUAGAACACAUUCAUUCUGUGUCAGAAACCUAUGCUGUGUCAACUAUUUAAUCACAAUCCAAAUUUAGAGCUGAAUCCAGCUUGAAUGUUGUGUCCAUACUUUCCCCAACUGUUCAGGGUUCAACCUCUGCGGUCGUAUAAAGCUACGCCCUGCGGAGCAUCUGGUUAUAGUUAUAUAU